rnacentral:rRNA from 1 species
CGAACGCUGGCGGCGUGCUUAACACAUGCAAGUCGAGCGGAAGGCCCCUUCGGGGGUACUCGAGCGGCGAACGGGUGAGUAACACGUGAGCAACCUGCCCCUGACUCU